rnacentral:rRNA from 1 species
AGCUCCAAUAGCGUAUAUUAAAGUUGUUGCAGUUAAAAAGCUCGUAGUUGGAUUUGUGGUGGCAGCCGAGGUCCAAUUUUGGUACUAUCGGUUGCCGCCAUCCUUGGGUGGAACUAAUCUGGCAUUAGGUUGUCGGGUUAGGGAUGCCCAUCGUUUACUGUGAAAAAAUCAGCGCGUUCAAAGCAGGCUUAUGCCGUUGAAUGUAUUAGCAUGGAAUAAUAAGAUAGGACUUUGGUACUAUUUUGUUGGUUUGCGCACCGAAGUAAUGAUUAAUAGGGACAGUUGGGGGUAUUCGUAUUCCAUUGUCAGAGGUGAAAUUCUUGGAUUUCUGGAAGACGAACUACUGCGAAAGCAUUUACCAAGGAUGUUUUCA